UACGUAGGGGGCAAGCGUUGUCCGGAUUUAUUGGGCGUAAAGAGCGUGUAGGCGGCCUGAUAGGUCGGUUGUGAAAACUGGAGGCUUAACCUUCAGACGUCGGCCGAAACCAUCUGGCUAGAGUCCGGAAGAGGAGAGUGGAAUUCCUGGUGUAGCGGUGAAAUGCGCAGAUAUCAGGAAGAACACCCGUGGCUAAGGCGGUUCUCUGGGCCUGUACUGACGCUGAGGAGCGAAAGCGUGGGGAGCGAACAGG
rnacentral:rRNA from 1 species